GACGAACCGUGCGAACGUUAUUCGGAAUCACUGGCUUAAAGCGCGAUGUAGGCGGGCCGCCACGUCGGCUGCUGAAAUCCCCCGGCUCAACCGGGGAACGGGCACCGAUACGAGCGGCCUCGAGGGGGGUAGGGGGGUCUGGAACUUCCGGUGGAGCGGUGAAAUGCGUUGAGAUCGGAAGGAACGCCCGUGGCGAAAGCGAGGCCCUGGACCCUUACUGACGCUGAGACGCGAAAGCCAGGGGAGCGAACGGG
rnacentral:rRNA from 1 species